GGGGGAUUUUCCGCAAUGGGCGAAAGCCUGACGGAGCAAUACCGCGUGAGGGAGGAAGGCUCUUGGGUCGUAAACCUCUUUUAUCAGGGAAGAACACAAUGACGGUACCUGAUGAAUCAGCAUCGACUAACUCCGUGCCAGCAGCCGCGGUAAUACGGAGGAUGCAAGCGUUAUCCGGAAUUAUUGGGCGUAAAGCGUCCGCAGGUGGUUUUGAAAGUUUGCUGUCAAAGCGCGAGGCUCAACUUCGUAUCGGCGGUGAAAACUUCAAGACUAGAGCUAGGUAGGGGUCACGGGAAUUCCCAGUGUAGCGGUGAAAUGCGUAGAUAUUGGGAAGAACACCAGCGGCGAAAGCGCGUGACUGGGCCUGAGCUGACACUCAUGGACGAAAGCUAGGGGAGCGAAAGGGAUUAGAUACCCCUGUAGUCCUAGCCGUAAACGAUGACAACUAGGUGUUGCCCGUAUCGACCCGGGCAGUGCCGUAGCCAACGCGUUAAGUUGUCCGCCUGGGGAGUACGCACGCAAGUGUGAAACUCAAAGGAAUUGACGGGGGCCCGCACAAGCGGUGGAGUAUGUGGUUUAAUUCGAUGCAACGCGAAGAACCUUACCAAGGCUUGACAUGUCGCGAAUCUUCUUGAAAGGGAAGAGUGCCUUCGGGAGCGCGAACACAGGUGGUGCAUGGCUGUCGUCAGCUCGUGUCGUGAGAUGUUGGGUUAAGUCCCGCAACGAGCGCAACCCUCGUCUCUAGUUGCCAUCAUUAAGUUGGGCACUUUAGAGAGACUGCCGGUGACAAACCGGAGGAAGGUGGGGAUGACGUCAAGUCAGCAUGCCCCUUACGCCUUGGGCUACACACGUACUACAAUGCUACGGACAAAGAGCCGCAAGUUCGCGAGGACAAGCAAAUCUCAUAAACCGUGGCUCAGUUCAGAUUGCAGGCUGCAACUCGCCUGCAUGAAGGCGGAAUCGCUAGUAAUCGCAGGUCAGCAUACUGCGGUGAAUACGUUCCCGGGCCUUGUACACACCGCCCGUCACACCAUGGGAGUUGGCCACGCCCGAAGUCGUUACUCCAACCGUUCGCGGAGGAGGAUGCCGAAGGCAGGGCUGAUGACUGGGGUGAAGUCGUAACAAGGUAGCCGUACCGGAAGGUGUGGCUGGAUCACCUCCU
rnacentral:rRNA from 1 species